GUUGGUCCCGUGCCAAAGAUUGACACUGAAUCCCGCACAAGUAGACCACGGCCCUGGUAGUUGAUUAAGCAAAUUGACUGAUUAGUGGUCAUGGACCGGCAGGCACCGGGGAAAUCCAAAAUGCAGGCCAAGAACAGAAUCAUUAGCAGUUCAGAAAGCUGUUGCCGAACCUUGAUACUAGGCACUUAGUACGCUGGAUUGGCACCCAGGAAGCGCUCGGUGAAUACGACUGAGGGGUUGACGGUAGCGUGUGAUCUAAUGAUGCACGGAUUAACGGAUGGAUGGAAAACAGAAUCGUAAAGGCAGGCGUAUCCUCUGGAAGGCUGGCAGAUGAACUGAGGUAGCCAAUAUGGUACUCCCCCAAGCUUUUAGGACAGUGCUUUGCACACACAUUUUACAGAUGAGGUAACUAAGGCCCAGAGAAGUGAAGUGAUUUGCUCAAGGUCCCACAGCAGACAAGUGGCAGAGCCAUGACCUUCUUACUCUUAACCGAGGUCCAGAGAAGCAACUAGCCCAACAUGACACAGCAGACAAGUGGUGGAGCCAGGAUCAGAACCCAGGCCCUUCCACUCUAUCCGCUAGGCCACGCUGCUUCUCUUUUCUCCAUUAGUAGAUGGCAGAGGCACAGUGUGCUUCCAGGCUGCCUGCACCUGCGUGUAUCGAGCUCAGAGGCUCUCUGCCUCGGCCAGACUGCCGGCAUAGUGUAACUUUAUUUCCUCUGUGAAAUGAUUAUCUCCACCGGGCCUCCUCCAGCACAAAUGGUUCACAUUUCUCGUCCAUAAAGUACCAAGCACAGCAUCCUCACUGGCACGCCGCCCACACGUUCCUACCCAUGCCCGCACACACAAGGCGAUGGUUGGGGGCACAAAGUGGGAAUUUAGCCCAAAUUGGCUGGCAAAUUCUUUCCCAGGACAAUGAGCUGAAUGGGUCGAGUAUGUAGGGAAGAAUCAAGCUCCCUCUCUCUUUCUCUCUCUCGCUCGCUCUUCAAUGCCUUGGUUCGCUGGCCCUUCUUUGGGCAGCCUCCCUGGGGUGGGCCGGGUUCGUAAUGUCUUCAGACGUCCAAAAGAUGCGGACCUGAAUCCCCCACCCCCGGAGGAGGGUCGGCAGGGUCUUGUAGGCCCGGGGGCUCAGUCGGCAGUAGCCACGGGGACGGGGAUGCAUUUGUCGGCGGAUCAGUUCAGUCACGUGCCUUUGGACGGCUCCCCGGCAGAAGCCGGCAGAUAUCAGAAGACGGUGGCCACAGGAAUUCUCAGAGGCAGAGCACCCAAGGCAACCCCUGGCAACCUUCCCUCCUGUAGCCUGAGGAGAAGCUGGCCGACCGGCUGAAUCUUUGAGAAACAGAGACUUUCUGUAAGCCUCCUGGCAGAUGGUUUUUCAGGAAGCCGUGAAUCCGAGCAGCCUCUGCCAGGCUCCAGAAGCACAGUGGCCAGAGGGGAGGUCGUUAACUCUUGCAGGUCACUGGAGUCUUAUUAGGCAGUGACCAGACCGGUUCAGGGGAUCCGUUGGGCCCGGAGAGAGCCCGGAGUCCGUGCCGAAGACGGCUCAAGUUUGAAAGGCUCCUGACUGAACCGGGACCUGGGAGGGGCAGACUCGAAGAGUCAGUCAGUCUGUCGAUCGAAUUUAUUGAGUGCUUACUUUGGGCAGAGCACUACACUAAACGCUUGGGAGAGAGAGUACAAUAUGACAGUGUAACAGACACAUUCCCUGCUCACUAUGAGCUUACAGUCUACAGUGGGAGACAGGCAUUAAUAUAAAUGUAUAAAUUACAGAUUUGGACAUAAGCGCUGUGGGGCUGGGAGAAGGGAUGAAUAAAGGGAGCAAAUCGAUAGACGCCAAAGGGAGAAGAAGAAAUGAGGGCUUAGUCGGGGAAGGCCUCUCGGGGGAGAUGUGCCUUCAAUAAGGUUUCGAAGCGGGGGAGAGUUAUUGCCUGUUGGAUUUGAGGAGGGAGGGUGUUCCAGACGUGGCAGGACGUGGGUGAGAGGAUGAAAUCGAGGCCCAUUGAGAAGGUUGGCAUUAGAGGAGUGAGGUGGUCAGGCUGGGUGGUAGUAAGAGAAUAAUUAUAAACAACGUUGGUAUUGGUUAAGCGCUUACUAUGUGCAGAGCACUGUUCUAACUGCUGGG
rnacentral:lncRNA from 1 species